rnacentral:rRNA from 1 species
UAACGCGUGAGGAACCUGCCUCAAAGAGGGGGACAACAGUUGGAAACGACUGCUAAUACCGCAUAAGCCCACGGCUCGGCAUCGAGCAGAGGGAAAAGGAGCAAUCCGCUUUGAGAUGGCCUCGCGUCCGAUUAGCUAGUUGGUGAGGUAAUGGCCCACCAAGGCGACGAUCGGUAGCUGGUCUGAGAGGACGACCAGCCACACUGGGACUGAGACACGGCCCAG